GCUUUGCAUAAUUUGCCUACAUAGAGACAAAUAUCUAAAUAGAAAACAAUAAAUUUAUUUGAAUUCAUUCUUGCUGUGGACUAUGGUUGGCAUUUUGGGUUGGGCCGUCACGGCACACACACACACACACACACACACACCUGGAGAGCUGCGGGAACUGUGAUGGGUCUUUCAUUUGCCUACCUAGAGAGAUUGUUUUGGGCACACUUUGGGACGCGUAAAUCAAAUGCUGCUUACAAGUGGCUCGAUCUCGGAUCUGAGCUUUGCCAUAAAUAAACAUUAUAACAAUAAUAACACUGGGCCGCAUUCGAAAGGCCAAAGCAGCUGAGCAUUCGAAACAAUUCCAAAAAAAAAAAAA